rnacentral:rRNA from 1 species
AUGAACGCUGGCGGCGUGCCUAAUACAUGCCAGUCGAGCGAACAGACGAGGAGCUUGCUCCUCUGACGUUAGCGGCGGACGGGUGAGUAACACGUGGAUAACCUACCUAUAAGACUGGGAUAACUUCGGGAAACCGGAGCUAAUACCGGAUAAUAUAUUGAACCGCAUGGUUCAAUAGUGAAAGACGGUUUUGCUGUCACUUAUAGAUGGAUCCGCGCCGCAUUAGCUAGUUGGUAAGGUAACGGCUUACCAAGGCGACGAUGCGUAGCCGACCUGAGAGGGUGAUCGGCCACACUGGAACUGAGACACGGUCCAGACUUCUACGGGAGGCAGCAGUAGGGAAUCUUCCGCAAUGGGCGAAAGCCUGACGGAGCAACGCCGCGUGAGUGAUGAAGGUCUUCGGAUCGUAAAACUCUGUUAUUAGGGAAGAACAAAUGUGUAAGUAACUAUGCACGUCUUGACGGUACCUAAUCAGAAAGCCACGGCUAACUACGUG